CCAGCAGUUGGAUUCCAACACAUUGUGGUGCCCCUCUUCCUCCACCGCGAGCUUCCUGGGAGACUUUGGCUACUCUCCAGCUCCCUCUGGCUUGAACAGAGAAAACAGCAGGACCAUGAGGCUCUGGAAGACUUUGACGCUCCUGAUCUGGGGGCUGCUUCCAGAUCCAGAAGAAACAACAGCAAUAAGCAACCAGCCAGACCUUGAUCUCUCCCUAAACACUACUGACAACACAUACCUGAUUUAUGUGCUUUUCACCUUGAAAACCCUUAUCCUCCUGGGUCUGGGCAUUGCAAUUAUCUGGAUGCAUAGAAGACAAUUAGAAGAGAUCUUCAGCUGCCAUGUGGCAAGAAAAUGCUGGACAGCAAUCCCAUAGCGACCAAUGUAACUGUUUCUUUACAUAAUAUAUUGUGUUUAACUAACACUGUUUUGUAACUCUAGUUGACAUUAAACUAUUUACGUACCAACCGGAUUCAUCUUCCCCCAAAAAGUACAAUAGAA